GAUGAACGCUGGCGGCGUGCCUAAUACAUGCAAGUCGAGCGAACAGACGAGGAGCUUGCUCCUCUGACGUUAGCGGCGGACGGGUGAGUAACACGUGGAUAACCUACCUAUAAGACUGGGAUAACUUCGGGAAACCGGAGCUAAUACCGGAUAAUAUAUUGAACCGCAUGGUUCAAUAGUGAAAGACGGUUUUGCUGUCACUUAUAGAUGGAUCCGCGCCGCAUUAGCAAGUUGGUAAGGUAACGGCUUACCAAGGCAACGAUGCGUAGCCGACCUGAGAGGGUGAUCGGCCACAAUGGGACUGAGACACGGCCCAAACUCCUACGGGAGGCAGCAGUAGGGAAUCUUCCACAAUGGGCGAAAGCCUGACGGAGCAACGCCGCGUGGGUGAUGAAGGUUUUCGGGUCGUAAAACUCUGUUAUUUGGGAAGAACAAAUGGAAUAGUAACUAUGCACGUCUUGACGGUACCUAAUCAGAAAGCCACGGCUAACUACGUG
rnacentral:rRNA from 1 species